rnacentral:sRNA from 1 species
AGAGGUCAUGUGUAUGAUUGAGUAUAAGAACUAGAACUGCAACCGGAUCCCAGAAGCUAAACUUGUAUUUCCUUGUUUGAAGAUACAAAGACGAAGAUUCACA